UCGAAGUUUCUUGAAUUUCUGGAUCCAGCCCAAUUGGGUAUUUCCCAAUUUGGAAAUUUCUCUUCUUCUCUUUUCAUUUUAUUCGAAAAAGGAAUCCCAUUUCCACGCCAACGGCCAGCAGAGGAACCUCUCUCUGUCACAUUCCGUGAAGACACGCACACAACACUCUCACUCACUCUUCGGUUGAAAAUGGAUCGUAACCCUCCCGGAUAUCGUCGGAUCCCGAAAACCCAAACCAAACCUGAACUUUACUCCACCGUCGUGGUUCACUCCGACUCUGAUUCUGAUCGAGAGCAAGGUAAGCCCAAAAAUAAGCAGCCCCACCGGUAUCAGCAAGAAGAAGAAGAAGAAGAAGAAGCUGACCUAUAUGCUACAAUGGUGUACAAAAACGAAACGGUUGGGGAGGACGAAGACGAUGAUGACUCCUCCCUUCCUCCACUUCUAAAGCGUCUCCCCAAGGACUUCGGAGGCGGAGCUCCGAUUGACUAUGACGAUGACCGCGAUGGUUACGGAGGUGCCAAUCAAGACGGAGAUUUCGGCACAAUGAUUGUCAAAACAGAUCGCAGUGGUCGUAGCCGAAGCAAUCAAUCAUCUCUGAAGCCGCGCGUGGCUCUCAGCCCGAGGGGCACGGGGAGGAGGAGUAGAAUGGACGCCGGUGAUGAAGAUGACGACGAGAGCGAUGGUGAUGGGGACGAGUAUGGGACUUUUGUAGUGAGAUCAACUGCACGGCGGGAGAGGGAGAGGUCCACGAUGGGGAGGGCGGUGGCAGGCAUGCAGGCGGUGGGGGAGUUAGGGUUUGGCGGCAAGCAGAGGAGAGGGAGUGGCUCUUCUCCUUUCUCUUCGCAGAUUAAGGUGGCAGAGCAUAGACAGCAACAGCAGCAGCAACCAAACAGUAAAAUUUCAACGACUUCAAUACCUGAGAGUGUGACCAGGGAAGAUCCUUGCACAAAGUAUGAAUUGCUCAACGAGCUCGGGAAAGGGUCAUAUGGGGCUGUUUAUAAAGCUAGAGACUUGAGAACAUCAGAACUUGUUGCCAUAAAAGUUAUAUCCUUAUGUGAAGGGGAGGAGGGUUAUGAAGAAAUUCGGGGUGAAAUUGAGAUGUUGCAGCAAUGCAGUCAUCCAAAUGUUGUCCGCUACCUUGGAAGUUACCAAGGGGAAGAGUAUCUUUGGAUAGUAAUGGAAUAUUGUGGGGGUGGAAGUGUUGCCGAUUUAAUGAAUGUGACUGAGGAGCCAUUGGAGGAGUCUCAGAUAGCAUAUAUUUGUCGUGAAGCAUUGAAGGUAUCACUGGUUCUUGAUAGCAUGCGAUCUUGUAUCACAAUUUUCCUGAAAAUUCUUCUGGCGUUGCAUAUUUGCACUCAAUUUUCAAGGUCCAUAGAGACAUUAAAGGUGGUAAUGUCUUGUUAACUGAACAAGGAGAGGUCAAGUUGGGUGAUUUUGGAGUUGCAGCUCAGCUUACAAGGACCAUGUCAAAGCGUAACACUUUUAUUGGAACUCCACAUUGGAUGGCUCCAGAAGUUAUCCAGGAAAGUCGCUAUGAUGGAAAGGU